GACGAACGCUGGCGGCGUGCUUAACACAUGCAAGUCGAACGGAAAGGCCUGCUUUCCCUUGUGGAUUGCGGGUACUCGAGUGGCGAACGGGUGAGUAACACGUGAGUGAUCUGCCCCCAACUUGGGUAUAAGCCUGGGAAACUGGGUCUAAUUCCCGAUAGGACUGCAGGGUGGUGCCUGUGGUGGAAAACGAUUUUCUAGUGGUUGGGGAUGAGCUCGCGGCCUAUCAGCUUGUUGGUGGGGUAAUGGCCUACCAAGGCGGCGACGGGUAGCCGGCCUGAGAGGGGGGACGGCCACAGUGGGACUGAGAUACGGCCCAGACGCCUACGGGAGGCAGCAGUGGGGAAUAUUGGACAAUGGGCGGAAGCCUGAGGCAGCGACGCCGCGUGGGGGAUGACGGCCUUCGGGUUGUAAACUCCUUGCGACCGCGAGGAAGCCACCUGGUUGGAAGGGUGGUGACGGUAGUGGUAGAAGAAGCACCGGCUAACUACGUG
rnacentral:rRNA from 1 species